rnacentral:lncRNA from 1 species
CCCUACCAAAGUGACCAGAGUAUUUUUUAAUGAUACCAGUAGCUGGGGAUAGUGGUACAGGCCUAUAAUCCUAGUGACAUGGGAGGCUGAGGCAAGAGGCUCACAAGUUUAAAGCCAGGCAACUUAGUGAGACCUUGUCUCAGACAAACAAAAUAACCCCAAAACACUAAAAAAGGACUGGGGAUGUCUCUCAGAAGUAGAGUGCCUCUGGGUUCAAUCCCCAGUACAAAAAAUGAUAUCCAUUUUUUUGAGUAAUUUUGCUCUAGUCACAACUAUCCUGGAAGAGCUAAAGUUCUUAAGGUAAAAUGAAAUUUCAUCAAAACAAUGAAAGACAUUAAUGAAUCAAAAGCAAGUCUCCAGGCUGGGGUUGUAGCUUAGUUGGUAGUGCAUUUGCCUUGCAUGUGUGAGGCCCUGGGUUCGAUCCUCAGCAACAUAAAAAAAACAAAUAAAUAAAAUAAAGGUAUUGUGUCGAUAACUUAAAAAAACCAGCAAGUCUCUCUGACCCUUUUUUUUUUUUUUUUUAGUUUUUGGUGGACACAACAUCUUUGUUUGUAUGUGGUGCUGAGGAUCAAACCCGGGCCGCACGCAUGCCAGGCGAGUGCGCUACCGCUUGAGCCACAUUCCCAGCCCUCUCUACCCUAUUGCCUUCUCUGAUAAUAAGGCAAGCUUGCCCUGUGUAUAUCACUAGUGCGAUUUAACAAACUUGUUUGCCUCUGAAUAGUAAAUAAACUGCAGUCUCCCUGCAACACCAGAAUGUUAUUUCUUAAAUCUUCAUAGACAAAUACGUGUUGUUUGUCUUCCGAAGUCCUCUGUGUACAGAGCCAUGCUUACCUGCUGUGGAGUUUAACAGAGCCUCUCCCACAUUGUGCACUCCCUGAUUGUUGCCUCACUUCUGUGGAUCUAGCCUGGUCUAUGAGCACUAACUAGCAGCAGCUCUGUUUAUUCAACAACCAGGCCUCCUGCUCUGGCUAAUAAUUUCUCAGCAAGUUUUAAACUCCCUGAACAUCAAGGAUACCUACAUAGAUUUUCAGUGGGUGAUUGGUUUGUGUGUAAGACAGAAUACUAAGGUAGUAACCUGGGAGAUGUGGAUUCUAGUUUCUACUUCAUCAAGGGCUUAAAUGACCCUAGGACAGUCAUUUUAUUAAUUGUUCCAUAUGAAAAGACAGGGCAAAUAUAAGCCUUAAUUUAUAAGGUUUGCCAAGAUAUAGUGAAAGCAUUGUAAAUACCAUUCUCCAAUGCUAUUUAAAUCCUCAACCAGAGCUUGAAGACCUCUAUGAUGAAGAGGAAUCUGCCUCCAGAUCAGAUUCUUAUUCUCUAAUCAAUACCUUCCAAGUCCAGGAAGGUCAGUAACUCAUUCCACUGCAAAGUUGGGAAGGCCCUGGAAGGGCAGCACUUUUGAGCCUCAUGAGCUGGAUUCUGUGUUGCCCAAAUGAGGACAAAUUUUUCCUCUUCCAUCCAGAACACAAUAGCCUACUUCAUUAUCUGGGUAAAAAGAAGUUGAGACAAUUAGACGAGAACAUUCCUGUCUAUAUCAAGUACUUCACUCUUACGCAUAUUUUACUCACUUUUGUAAUCCCAACAUUGUGCCCAAUAGUCACUAACUUGAAAUACAACUUUUAAAAAAUUUGAGACAGGGUCUCACUAAAUUGCUUAGGGUCUUGUUAAACUGCUGAGGCUAGCCACAAACUUGCUACCCUCCUGCCUCAGCCUCCUAAGUUGUUAGGAUUACAGGGUGUAUCACUGCACCUGACCCUGAAAUAUA